ensembl:snoRNA U3 Small nucleolar RNA U3
AAGACUAUAUUUUCAAGGAUAAUUUUUAUAAUUCAUUCCUAACCAUAUACUGUACUGUUUAGCAUGAGGAAGAGGUGAAACACUCCCUAAAUGUUAAGCUGGCUUUUGGUGUUGCUUUACUGCAGCUGUUACUAUUGGUAGUCAUUCUCCUUACUUUCCUUCCCCUAAUCUAGAGAAUGUAGAAGGAAAGAUUGCAGUCCAAGUGAU